rnacentral:misc_RNA from 1 species
CAAAUGGCAGUUGUGAUAACUACGCCAAUAGACAGGAAUCAUCCAGAAAUUUGAGUACCGGGAUAACUUCUGUCGGGUCUCUCGAGUACUGAGGCAUUUAACCGGUCAACAUGCCUUCUCUGUACUAUUAGCUCUCUCAGUUACUUUUGUUGAGAAUGUAAAAGCAAUCUUAGUUUUUUCACUUGAGCUCAGAUAUGAGCGAGAAACUGUAAUUAAUUAAGUGAUUCCCUCUCCCUUCUGUUUUCUCAUACAUACAGGUACCAGG